CGCGAGCCCAGCUGGGGUGGUAAAUAGAGUACAGUACAUCACCAUGUAACAAAUGCAGACAUCUCUGAGAUCACCAUGCAGUGAGGAAGUCUAAGCUGGUGGCAUGAAGAGGCCACAUGGAAAGGGCUAAAAAAGGGGCCAGCCUCAGUCAUCCCAGCUGAGCACCUGGCUGGGAAUAAAAGAGGACUCCGUGGAUGUCCAGCCCAGUAAGAUGACCUCAGCCCCAGCCACCAACUGACCAAGCACACAAGACAUCGUGAGGCUGCCUGCUGGAGCCUGGCCAGUGGGACUGUAGAGUAACUCAUUGUCGUGCAGGAACUCCUGGGAUGGUGUUGCCCAGUGACACAAUCCCAGUGUGGCCAUUUCUGAUCCCGAGAAAGCAGUCAGGAGUGGGUGGAUGCAGUUACAGUUCAUCAAGUCCUGCUAGUUCAAGUCAUGAGUCCUGAAUUCUCCAGGAGGAGCCACUAAAGAAAUGCAGAAGCAGGCAAUCCUUGCAAUAAGGCCAGCAAACUGCCAGUGUGAAGGAUGCCCAGGUAACCUGCCCAUGCCAGAACGGCCAGGAGAUGGUGGAACCAGAAUCUAAGCCCACGCCCAUCUGACCUCAAAGUCUGUGCUCCUGAGGUUCGCACCGAGUUGCCUCCUAAGACUUGCUGAAACUGGAUCACGUCCAUUUACCCAUCUCUGAGAGAAAUGCAAGCUUUAAAAAAGGAAAUAUUUACUAUGGAUAUUUUACAAUAGUUCCAAAACAUGAAAGUUUUAAAUAAGAUAUUCUUAACCAUCCUCACCACAUCUUCAGGUUCCCUUACAGCCACUGUGUUUUGACGAUUGCCCAUUAGAAAAAAAGACUAUGCUUUCUGUAGGUUUUAAAGGAAUGGUGGUGAAAUAAGGAGCAUUCCCUGAGCAGAUCUUGCCUGCGGGCACACCUCUGAGCAUUGGACCAGGCGAGAAGAGCCCAUGUGUUGGCUGCUUUGGGAUCCCAGCACUGCCAAUGGCAGGUGGGCUGUGGCCCAGGGAGAGAACCUAGCCUUUUGCAUUCUCUUGCCCCAUUUGAAAAUGGAGACGAUAGUGGCGCCCCGCUCAGUGUUAUUUUGAGGAUUUGAAUGUAUCUCAGAUGUAGUACCUGGAAAAAUAUAAGUGCUCAGUAAAUACGGUUGCCAGAUAAAAUGCAGGAAACCUAUUUAAAUUUAAGUUUUGGCUGGACAAUGAAUAGAAUAAUUUUUCUUAGUAUGAGUAUGUCCUUAUAUUUCAUCUGCUAAAUUUAGCAACCUCCUCAGUAAACGAUCACUACAAUUGCAGAAACGCCUUAUGACAGAUAUAGUAAAUCUGUAAAGAAAUAGGAACUUGCAUUUAUUUUUACUAAGCUCUGACUGGUUAAGAUAACUGGGCAAGAGAAGAUAUCUUCGACUAAACUUGCAGCACAUAGAGUAUAGAGAUUCAAAUUUGAAGUCCUAUAGGACUAGAAUGGCCAGAGGUGAACUGUAGCGAGCUUAUCUAAAGAGGACCAAUUUCAAAAGUUCCUCAGAGACUUAAAUGGGCCCACAGACCCCUCCUGUGUCUUUGCAUAAGCCAGCUCGUUAUAUCAGUUAUAAGUUGAUUUCCAGAGAAAUGUACCCUGGAGAUCCCUCUCCCACUUGAAAUAGGACUGGCCAAUCCAGAUGUCCCCCAGGUGAUGUUGGCUCAAAUGGAGCUCCAUAUAUUGGAGAAUCUAUUCAAGAAAACAAGCAAAAGUAUUUGUGACUGAGUUAGCUAAUGCCAGCUGGUAUCUUGAACAAACCCAGAUCUCUAACAUGCUAGUUUAUUUCGUAGUGUAAAAUGUGUGUUACUGAUGGGCAGACAGCUCUCAUUCAAGCAGUGACAGAUGUAAGCUCUUCCCAUUUUUGUGGCCCCAUUGUAUUCGGCGUGUGGCUUCCAAGUUGCCUGGGAUCAUCUCCACCCAGACUAAGGAAGAGGAAAGAGCUUGGACAACUGCACUUGGCUGGUUUUUAUGGAUCAGGCAAGGAAUUGGCUCCAACACAUUAGCUCACAUUCCAUUGGUUAGAACUGGGUUUCUCAACUAUUAGUACAGGGUGAGUGUAGGGUUUUGGCACCAUGGGCAUUUGAGCUGGCCAAAGGCUAAUCAGAGUUAGAACAAAGCCACAAAGCCUGUGAAUGGUGUUUAUUGUUGUGAGGAGCUGUCUUGUGCAUUGUGGAAUGUUCAGCAGGAUGCUCUCUGGCCUCAGAGACUCACUAGAUUCCCAUAGAACUCUCCUCUCUCCUCUAGUUGUGACAACCACAGUUGCCUCCUCUCCAGACAUUGCUAGAUGUCCCCGGGAGGCAAAAUUGUCCUGGUUGAGAACCACUGUGUUAGAACUCGGUCACAUGGCCAUACCUAACUGCAAGGGAGGGGGCUGGAAGAUCUAGACGAGUAGUAUGCCAGGAAGAAAAUAGAACUGAUUUAGAGGCUGCUGGCCAGUCACUUUCAGUGACCUUCAGCAUACUUAUUCCUCUGCAGCUGUCAGGACACUCAUGCCUGUUUCUGAGAUGUUUCCUGUGUGAGGGGACAUAGUGACUAUUGGAGGGGUGACAUGUUGGACUUGGGUAGGGUGAAGAGGAUUGGAAACCACCAUCAUGUUUGGCAGCAUUGAAUGUUUAUGACUAUUUGAAUAGUUGUGACAAGGGUACAGUGAAGGAGGAAGUAACCAUUUUUGAAUACCCUUUUACAAUUUGCAAAGCACUUUUAAAGGUAAGAGUGAGUUCCUAGACCAUAUUAGGGUGAGAAUGGACAUUGUUGGCUGCCAUAUCAUUGGGCAGGGGCUUUGAGAUUUUUGUCUUCAGAAGGCAGAUUAGAUUUGGAGUAGAAGGAGAAAUGUAAAGACCUGGUAUCUGAGUGUGUUUGCAGAGGGGAAUUGUCGUUUGGAAGCACAAGAAAGGGAAUGGCCCGUUGGCACAUAUGGUACAUUGUGUUUUCAUAUAAUUAUACCUGAAUGAAAGCAAGAGGAAACGUGUAGGAAGCUGUUUACAUAGUCCUUUUAAUAAUGUUUACAUGAGUUAAUGAACAUGCAAACGUAUCUGAUGAAAACAUGUCAGUAGUGAAACAGCCUUGUGAAGAAUCAGAUCUUACCUCAGGCUGGAAAAAAGGACUGGUUUUCCAAGCUCACAAAUUGCAGCCAGUGUGAAUAGUAGCACAAAUGACUGAGCUUUAAGACAUCCAUCCAUCCAUCUAUCCAUCCCCUCAUCCAUCCAUCCCCUCAUCCAUCCACCCAUCCAUCCAUCCCUUCAUCCAUCACUCCAUCCAGCCAUCCGUCCCUUCAUCAAUCCAUCCAUCCCUUCAUCCAUCCAUCCAUCCUUCCUUCCAUUCAUCCCUUCAUCCAUCCGUCCAUCCAUCCAUCCAUCCACUCAUUCAUCCCUUCAUCCAUCCAUCCAUCCAUCCUUCCUUCCUUCCAUUCAUCCCUUCAUCCAUCCGUCCAUCCAUCCAUCCACCCAUUCAUCCAUCCAUUCCUUCAUCAACUCAUCCCUUCAUCCAUCGUCUACCAUUCAUUCACCCCUUCAUCCAUCCAUUCAUUUAUCCAUCCGUCCAUUUACUUCCAUCCAUCCCUUUAUCCAUCCAUUCACCCAUUCAUCCCUUUAUCCAUAUGUCCAUUCCUCCAUCCAUCCAUCCAUCCAUUUACUCUUCAUCCCUUCAUCCAUUUUUCCAUCCAUUCAUCCAUUCAUCUUUUCAUCCAUCCAUCCAUUGAUCUAUCCAUCCAUCCAUUGCUCCAUCCAACCAUCCAUCCAUCCCUUCGUCCCUUCAUCCAUCCAUCCAUUCAUCCCAUCAUCCAUUGAUCACUUCAUCCAUCCAUCCUUCCAUCCUUCCAUCCAUUCUUCCAUUCAUCCAUCCAUGUGUUCAGCAAGUAUUUACUGAAUGCCUAUUAUGUGCCAAGCACUCUCCUCAGAACUUAGGAAAUACCAGGAAACAAAAUCAACAACAAUCCCUCACCACCUGGAUAUUACAUUUUGGUGGGAAGAGACAAAGAAAUAAAAUUGGUGAGUGAAUCACAUAGGUUAUUAGAAGGUGAUAAAGGUGUAGGUGAUAAAGGAGAAGUGCCAGGAGCAAGGAUUGGGUACAGUUGUGAAUAAGGUGGCCCCAAUAGGUUGCACUGAGAAGGUGACAUUUGCACAGAGACUUGAAGAAAGGAAGGAGAGAACAUGACUGUACCUGGGUAACAGCAUUUGUGGAAGAGGGAACAGCCAGUGUAAAAGUUCCAAGGCAUGAGUGCCUGGUACAUACAUGGAACAUCGAGGCCAGGGUGGCAGAAACGCGGUGAGUCCAGGAAGGGAAUAGGAACUAAGUGUAGGAAGGUGUACAGUGGGGUGGUGUGGGGGUGGAAUUGUGGCAGCCAGAUGGUGUUGGCCUAAGGCCUCUUGGCCCUUGUUAGGACUUGGUUUACCAUGGCGCAACACAUCCAUGAGAUUGGCAAAAAUUAAAAAGUCUGACAACAGAAAAUCUGGUAAUCUGGUGAGGAUGUGGAGCAGUGGGAAUUCUCCAAUACUGCCAGGGAGCAUGGGCAUCAAUCCCACCACACUGGAAUGCAAAGGGGCAUUCUGAGUAGAACUGAAGAUGUGCCCAUCCUUGACCCCACAGUUCCAGCCAUGGGCAUGCGCAUGAAUGUGCACACGUGUUGACUGCGGCAUUUGUUUGUCAUUAUGAAAACAUCUAAGUUUCCAUCUAUGGGAGAGGGGAUAAUGUGGGAGUGCCCAACAGUGGAGUUCUAGAGAGCAGUAAAAAUAAAUGGACUAGAGCUGCACACGUCAAAAUGGAUGAAGAUAAAAGACAUAAGGAUGGAAGAAGACCACCUGGCCACAGAAGUAUAUGUCCAAUAUGAUGCUGGUGUAUCCAGAGUGUUCAAACAAACAACACAACACUACUCAUUGUUUCCAACGUGAGUAUGAAAGUAUGGAGCAGUGCGGAGGGCCAGGAGUGCUGAAUCCACAUGGUUACUUCUCCAGGCGGGGGCCGAGGACCAGGGCUGGAGGUUUACUCCAGGAGCUUCAGUGGUGCAUGCUGAAUGUGCUGUUUCUUGGGCUGGGGGACAGAGAUGUGCAUGCUGUUAUACACUCUAUAUUGAAAUGAUUGUAUAACAAUAUACUAAUUUAUCAU
rnacentral:lncRNA from 1 species